AACAUUAAACUUUAAUGCAAGGGAAAAGCAAAUACAAACACAAACCGGGAGUGCAGUAUAAUCGAGAAAGAACGAAGGAGCAAAGAUGGGCGAAUAAGGACUACCAUGGGAUGAAUCGAAAAAGUAGCUAGAUAAAAACAAGACAGGAUGAAGAAGCAAGUGCAUGACUGACCACCACUAAAACGGUUACCACUUUACUGUAACUGAAAAGGCCCUAAUAUUGUAUACGCCAUCCUGUUCUCAAGCGGAACUGACACUUCGACUCAAGAAAAAGAA